rnacentral:rRNA from 1 species
AUUCGCGGCCUAUCAGCUUGUUGGUGGGGUGAUGGCCUACCAAGGCGACGACGGGUAGCCGGCCUGAGAGGGUGAUCGGCCACACUGGGACUGAGACACGGCCCAGACUCCUACGGGAGGCAGCAGUGGGGAAUAUUGCGCAAUGGGCGGAAGCCUGACGCAGCGACGCCGCGUGGGGGAUGACGGCCUUCGGGUUGUAAACCUCUUUCGGCCCCGACGAAGCGUGAGUGACGGUAGGGGUAGAAGAAGCACCGGCCAACUACGUGCCAGCAGCCGCGGUAACACGUAGGGUGCGAGCGUUGUCCGGAAUUAUUGGGCGUAAAGAGCUCGUAGGCGGUGUGUCGCGUCGGCCGUGAAAACCUGCAGCUUAACUGUGGGCGUGCGGUCGAUACGGGCAUCACUGGAGUUCGGCAGGGGAGACUGGAAUUCCUGGUGUGGCGGUGAAAUGCGCAGAUAUCAGGAGGAACACCGGUGGCGAAGGCGGGUCUCUGGGCCGAUACUGACGCUGAGGAGCGAAAGCGUGGGGAGCGAACAGGAUUAGAUACCCUGGUAGUCCACGCCGUAAACGUUGGGCGCUAGGUGUGGGGACCAUUCCACGGUUUCUGUGCCGUAGCUAACGCAUUAAGCGCCCCGCCUGGGGAGUACGGA